UAUAGAAGGCAUUCACUCAUAUUGUUCCACACUUCUCUUCCAUUUCUUUUGAUAAGAAUUCAUCACGUGACUAUAACUGACUGCAGAGCAGGCCAAAAAUGGAGGCUUGGGGAACACCCAUAGGCCCGACUAAAAUUCUACUGCCAGGGAACAGAAAAAACGGAUUUCUGUUGACUGCUAGCAGUCUGCCACACCAAGGUGAUCUCUACCUAAGAGCAUCAUAUCUUGAGAAGUAUGGAAAAGCAGCUGCAGAGUUUCUGGAGGAUCUUAAACAAUCAUGGAUGAGAACACUUGGUGAGUGUUGUGGCCUGAGUUGGGUACUCCACCCACAAUUACAUGUGUUGAAGUUCUAAACUCCAAUAUCUCAGAAUGGGACUGUAUUUGAAGGUAAGUUCUGGCAGUACAU
rnacentral:lncRNA from 1 species